GAAACCGAUGGGCCAAGUGAGGAUGGUGUGGUAGCUACAACCCCAAGUCUCCAAAACCAGACUACAUCUGCCACAGCUGGAGUAACUGAAGGCCCAAGUGAGGAUGCUAUGGUGUUAACCACUGUACUGCAAAAUGUGACCACCCCUGCCCAAGACGUAGCCACCAUUACUGACUCCCAUGAUUCCUCCUGAAGUGGCAAUCAGAAUGCUAAUUCUAAAUGGAAUUCUUGUCAUCUUGGCUUUCUCCAUCUUGAAUUCAAUAAAUGCCAGAUUUUAUCCAA